UCCAAGGUUCUCAACACCACAAUGGAAACAAAGCAACCUGGGUUCCUAGGCUCCUGGAGCUUGCAAUGUAAAGAAAAACAAAAAAUAGGUGUUCAACAAAUAUGUGACUUCACAGUGUUCUACAAGGGGAAAGAAGAGGAGGAGGAAGAGGAAAGAAAAAAGAAAGAAAGAGAAAGAGAGAAAAAAGAGAGGAGGAAUGAAAGAGGAAUCACAGGGAACCCAUGGGAUGUACUGAAAGACCAAACAAGUUUAACUUGAGGAAGCCCUCUACAAAGUCUGGACAGGAGGAUGAGGAAGGAAGGAGUGAAGUCUGGAAGGAAGCACCCCAGGAAGAGAUGGAAAGUGUACAAAUGUCAUGAGGGCACAGACGGGAAGGGAGAGGCCAAGAACAAAGAACUAAUAACCAGAAAAUAGAAGAAAAUACCAUAUGUCAACUUGGCCACCCUGACCCCUUCCUCGCUGGGGCUGGGUGGCAGAAAACUGGACACCACAGGAAGAGGAAAGAGCUUCGUUCUCCAGUUUGCUGUGUGACCAUGGACAAGGACUGCGAUGGCCAGAUGCCAUCAAGGCAUUCAAGAUUCAUUUCUGGAGAAACCACACCUAAGAUCUAAAGAAACUGAGAGAAGGACUGAGCUGAGCUCUCUAGACAAAUGCAGCGUGGAGGGAAGAACAUAUGUCCUGCACUC